GACGAACGCUGGCGGCGUGCUUAACACAUGCCAGUCGAACGGAAAGGCCCUGCUUUUGUGGGGUGCUCGAGUGGCGAACGGGUGAGUAACACGUGAGUAACCUGCCCUUGACUUUGGGAUAACUUCAGGAAACUGGGGCUAAUACCGGAUAGGAGCUCCUGCUGCAUGGUGGGGGUUGGAAAGUUUCGGCGGUUGGGGAUGGACUCGCGGCUUAUCAGCUUGUUGGUGUGGUAGUGGCUUACCAAGGCUUUGACGGGUAGCCGGCCUGAGAGGGUGACCGGCCACAUUGGGACUGAGAUACGGCCCAGACUCCUACGGGAGGCAGCAGUGGGGAAUAUUGCACAAUGGGCGGAAGCCUGAUGCAGCAACGCCGCGUGCGGGAUGACGGCCUUCGGGUUGUAAACCGCUUUCGCCUGUGACGAAGCGUGAGUGACGGUAAUGGGUAAAGAAGCACCGGCUAACUACGUG
rnacentral:rRNA from 1 species